rnacentral:rRNA from 1 species
AUGCAAGUCGAACGCGCAGCAUUCUGUAGCAAUACAGGGUGUGGGCGCGUGGCGAACGGGUGCGUAACACGUGGAUAACCUUCCUUGAGGUGGGGAAUAACCCAGUGAAAAUUGGGCUAAUACCGCAUAACAUCGCGAUGGCACAUGCUGAUGCGAUCAAAGGCGCAAGUCGCCACAAGAGGGAUCCGCGGCCGAUUAGCUUGUUGGCGAGGUAAUGGCUCACCAAGGCAAUGAUCGGUAGCCGGACUGAGAGGUUGGCCGGCCACACUGGAACUGAGACACGGUCCAGACUCCUACGGGAGGCAGCAGUGGGGAAUCUUGCACAAUGGACGAAAGUCUGAUGCAGCAACGCCGCGUGGGGGAUGAAGCUUCUCGGAGUGUAAACCCCUUUCGACCCGGAAGAAUGCCCGCAAGGGUAUGACGGUACGGGUAUAAGAAGCCCCGGCUAACUACGUGCCAGCAGCCGCGGUAAUACGUAGGGGGCCAGCGUUGCUCGGAAUUACUGGGCGUAAAGGGUCCGUAGGCGGUGUAGCAAGUCGAUAGUGAAAUCUCUGGGCUUAACCCAGAGGCUGCUAACGAAACUGCUGUGCUAGAGUGUGAGAGAGGCGAGUGGAAUUACGGGUGUAGCGGUGAAAUGCGUAGAUAUCCGUAG